AAUCUGCACUAAUUUCUAAUUGAUUUUAAAAAUAGCCCCGGAACAAUCGUGUGCUAGUGGGUAUGUGAUAAUAAAUUUGAUUUCAUAUCCGUAUCGGAUCCAAUGCUUGUGAUAUCGCGAACAUCAUUGAUAAGUUGGCCGGAAGAUUGCACGGAAUUUGCACACGUGUGAUGCUGCUCAGGAGAGAAAAAUACCAGUAUACGGAUCGUCCCGUUUAAAAAGCCUCUGGAAGCUCAUUCGGGGACAUUGGCACAUAUCCGGAAGAUGUUACCAUGGGGUGUUGAACGUGAUCAUGGCAUUCGGUAAUUUAUUUAUUUUCGUGACACUUAUUCAGGACUUUUUUUUGGUAGAAUUGUUUACACCUGAUCUCCAUGGUAGUCCACCCUGGACACUAAUCCAGACUGCCCAGAAACCAGUGUCAUGCAAACUCGUUCGAGUCCAAAUGCUUUCCGAGUUUCAAAGUUUUGCGAUCGUCUAAAUAUUUCAAAUUAAUGCACAAACCGUCGUCUUUUUAUAUCCUUGCAUUAUGGAAAUUGUACAAAACUCGGAAGGAUACGACCAGCACCGAGCUAUA